rnacentral:rRNA from 1 species
CGUCUCUAACUAUGGUGAGACGCGGCAGACGGCUCAGUAACACGUGGCUAACCUACCCUCAGGACGGGGACAAACCCGGGAAACUGGGGCUAAUACCCGAUAAGCGAGGAUGCCUGGAAUGGUUUUUCACCAAAAGGGCUUUGGAAGCAUGCUUUCUAACGUCGCCUGGGGAUGGGGCCGCGUCCGAUCAGGUUGUUGGUGAGGUAACGGCUCACCAAGCCUAUAACCGGUACGGGCCGUGAGAGCG